UAUUUUACUAUUUGCCAGGUGCGUGAAGGUUACACAUUGAACGAUUGUAUUUAAUUUAAGGAUGAUAGAAAAAAACAUUUUUAACCUAUCAAUCCUUUUACGGACAAAAUCAAAGUUUCAUGUGCCUAAACGUAGUUUUGCACAGACAGGGCUAACUAUAUCUGGGCCUCCGAGGGUCCGUUGUUCUCAUGGAGAAAAGCUGGCUCACAUGGCGUUUAUUACGGCGUUUUGGCUCUCGCCAGUUCUAUACUUUUUAACUCAGUUAAAAGUGUGGCGCCGUGAGUACAUCCAAGGAAAUGCUGG